rnacentral:rRNA from 1 species
UGCCAGUAGUCAUAUGCUUGUCUCAAAGAUUAAGCCAUGCAUGUCCAAGUGCAAACCAAUUUGUACGGUGAAACUGCGAAUGGCUCAUUAAAUCAGUUAUAGUUUAUUUGAUGCACACUUGACCACUACAUGGAUAACCGUGGUAACCCCAGAGCUAAUACAUGCGCUGAGCAGGCAGCACCCGCAACGGUGCCGCCUGUGCAUUUAUUGGAUACUCACUUCCAAAGUGGCAGCCGACGGGCGGUGCUGGUUCGCGCCAGCCCCUGCCCGGCACCGGCUGCCAUGAACGGCCGCGCCGGACGCGAGUCCGGUGUGAGCGUGCCGCUGUUUGGACGAUUCACAAUAACUUUGCCGAUCGUAUGGCCACCGCGCCGACGACGCUUCAUUCAAAUUUCUGCCCUAUCAACUAUCGAUGGUAGGAUAGAGGCCUACCAUGGUCGUAACGGUACGGAGAAGUUAGGGUUCGAGUUCCGGAGUAGGGAGCC